GGGGAUUUAGCUCGGGGGCAUAAGCGCCUGCCUUGCAAGCAGGCAGUUGUGCGUUCAAUCCCCG
rnacentral:tRNA from 1 species